rnacentral:rRNA from 1 species
UACGGAGGAGGCAAGCGUUAUCCGGAAUUAUUGGGCGGAAAGCGUCCGUAGGUGGCUAGUCAAGUCUGCGGGCAAAGACUGGGGCUUAACCCUGGAAAGGCCGUGGAAACUUUCAAACUAGAGUAUGGUAGGGGUAGAGGGAAUUUCCAGUGGAGCGGUGAAUGCGUAGAUAUUGGAAAGACCACCGAUGGCGAAGGCACUCUACUGGGCCACUACUGACACUGAGAGACGAAAGCUAGGGGAGCAAAUGGG